rnacentral:snoRNA from 1 species
GCAUGGGUUUGGAUUUAUGGCCGGCCCGUCCCCUGCGUCUCAUAGUGCUCAUGCCAGAGCAAAUCUGUGGCCUUCAACCAUGACCUGACCUUUGCCCAUAGGCUGCUUCUACACAGUAGAAGAAAUAAAAAUA